UACGUUGACGGGGGAGCGUUACUGGCCGUUACUAGGCGUAAAGUGUGGCUAGACGGUUUAAGAAUUUUUAGAUGAAAUAAAAGUGUCGACGAAAAACUCUUUAAAACCUUAAUACUAAAUGAGAUGGAAGGAAGUUAACAAUAUGUAUAACCUAGAGAUAAAAUUCUGACAGGUUAUAAAGAUUCUCGAAGGCCUCGGCAGUUAACUACUUUUAUUCUGACGUUGAACCACUAAAGUAUGGAUAUCGAAUAGGAUUGGAGACCCUAGUAGUCCAUACCCUGAAUCAAUGGGCAUCAUAUGUGGGGAGAAUAUUCCUCGUGUAUAAGCUAACGCGUGAAUGCCUCGCCUGGGGAGUAAAGCUGCAAAGGUAAAACUUAAAAAGAUUGGCGGGAGUUUGUAUGAACGGUGGAGCGUGUGGUUUAAUUCGAUAAUCCACGGUUAAUCUUACCAACGUAUUGAAAAAAAGCGACGAUAAAUUUAGUGAGAAUUUGCGAACUUUUUUUAAGUGGUACUGCAUGGCUGUCGUCAGUUCGUGUUGUAGAAUGUCAUAUUCAGUUAUUCAACGAACGUAACCUUUACUAUAAAUUUCAUAUCAAUUUUCUGUUAAAGAUACUUGGAAACUAGGAAACUAGCUACACGCUUAAUAGAAUUCGGUAUUAUUUAUUUUACUAUAAAGCGGGUUUUUAUUGUGUAACUUUCGGUUUUCGUUGUCCACCGUUUUAGGUGAAAGUGUGAAAAACUUUUAAUGGGCAUAUAGAAUGGGGAAUUACAUUUUUAACCUGUUUUGUGGAGGUGAAGUAGAAGUCAAGUCAUUAUGGUCUAAAUAUUUUGGGCUACACAUGCGCUACAAGGGUAAAAACAGAAAGAUGCGAAGGUGUGAACUCAAGCAAAUCUUAAAAAAUUAUCACAGUUCGGAUUGUAGACUGAAACUCGUCUACAUGAAGUCGGAAUCGUUAGUAAUCGUGAAUUAUUAUGUUACGGUGAAUGAUCUAUCAAACUUUGCACACACCGCCCAUCACGCCCGAAGAGUUGUAUCGGCUGGAAACCUUAUUUUUGGUUACAAAAAGCGUUAAAAGUUUUUUUCGAAAAAUGCACAACAUGUUGUGAACUCCUUUAUUUAGAGCAUGAAAUAUUGCUAAGAUUGUAUACUUUUGGUGGGUUAAAGACGGUAUGGUAACUUGGGCGAAGUUG
rnacentral:rRNA from 1 species